UGGGGAUAAUUCCGGAUAACGCAUAUUUGCUGGAAUGCUUUAUGCGUCAAAAGGAUUCGUCUGCCCAAGGAUGGGUCUGCGGCCUAUCAGGUAGUAGUGGGUGUAAUGUACCUACUAGCCAGCGACGGGUACGGGUUGUGAGAGCAAGAGCCCGGAGAUGGAUUCUGAGACAUGAAUCCAGGCCCUACGGGGCGCAGCAGGCGCGAAAACUUUACAAUGCGGGAAACCGUGAUAAGGGGACACCGAGUGCCAGCAUCAUAUGCUGGCUGUCCGGAUGUGUAAAAUACAUCCGUUAGCAAGGGCCGGGCAAGACCGGUGCCAGCCGCCGCGGUAACACCGGCGGCCCGAGUGGUGAUCGUGAUUAUUGGGUCUAAAGGGUCCGUAGCCGGUUUGGUCAGUCCUCCGGGAAAUCUGAUAGCUCAACUAUUAGGCUUUCGGGGGAUACUGCCAGACUUGGAACCGGGAGAGGUAAGAAGUACUACAGGGGUAGGAGUGAAAUCUUGUAAUCCCUGUGGGACCACCUGUGGCGAAGCGUCUUACCAGAACGGGUUCGACGGUGAGGGACGAAAGCUGGGGGCACGAACCGGAUUAGAUACCCGGGUAGUCCCAGCCGUAAACGAUGCUCGCUAGGUGUCAGGCAUGGCGCGACCGUGUCUGGUGCCGCAGGGAAGCCGUGAAGCGAGCCACCUGGGAAGUACGGCCGCAAGGCUGAAACUUAAAGGAAUUGGCGGGGGAGCACAACAACGGGUGGAGCCUGCGGUUUAAUUGGACUCAACGCCGGACAACUCACCGGGGGCGACAGCAAUAUGUAGGCCAAGCUGAAGACUUUGCCUGA
rnacentral:rRNA from 1 species